rnacentral:rRNA from 1 species
AUGAACGCUGGCGGCAUGCCCUACACAUCCAAGUCGAACGGUACAGGUCUUCGGAUGCUGACGAGUGGCGAACGGGUGAGUAAUACACGGAACGUGCCCGAGAGUGGGGGAUAACGAAGCGAAAGCUUUGCUAAUACCGCAUACGAUCUCAGGAUGAAAGCAGGGGGACCGCAAGGCCUUGCGCUCACGGAGCGGCCGAUGGCAGAUUAGUAGUUGGUGGGAUAAAAGCUUACCAAUGCCGACGAUCUGUAGCUGGUCUGAGAGUGACGACCAGCCACACUGGGACUGAGACACGGCCCAGACUCCUACGGGAGGCAGCAGUGGGGAAUUUUGGACAAUGGGCGCAAGCCUGAUCCAGCCAUGCCGCGUGCAGGAUGAAGGCCUUCGGGUUGUAAACUGCUUUUGUACGGAACGAAAAGACUCUGGUUAAUACCUGGGGUCCAUGACGGUACCGUAAGAAUAGCACCGGCUAACUACGUGCCAGCAGCCGCGGUAAUACGUAGGGUGCGAGCGUUAAUCGGAAUUACUGGGCGUAAAGCGUGCGCAGGCGGUUAUGUAAAGACAGAUGGUGAAAUCCCCGGGCUCAACCUGGGGAACUUGCCUUUUGUGAACUGCAUAGCUAGAAGGUAACGGCACAGAGGGGGGACUGGCAAUUUCCCGCGUGUAGCAAGU